UACGGGGGGAGCAAGCGUUGUUCGGAUUUACUGGGCGUAAAGGGCGCGUAGGCGGCCACCGCAAGUCGACUGUGAAAUCUCCGGGCUUAACCCGGAAAGGUCAGCUGAUACUGUUUUGCUAGAGUGCAGAAGGGGCAAUCGGAAUUCUCGGUGUAGCGGUGAAAUGCGUAGAUAUCGAGAGGAACACCUGAGGUGAAGACGGGUUGCUGGGCUGACACUGACGCUGAUGCGCGAAAGCCAGGGUAGCAAACGGG
rnacentral:rRNA from 1 species